rnacentral:rRNA from 1 species
UGGGGAAUAUUGCACAAUGGGCGCAAGCCUGAUGCAGCAAUGCCGCGUGAGUGAAGAAGGCCCUUGGGUCGUAAAGCUCUUUCGGUUGGGAAGUAGGGUUUAUGGGUGAAUAGCCCAUAAAUUUGACGGUACCUAAAGAAGAAGCACCGGCUAAUUUCGUGCCAGCAGCCGCGGUAAUACGAAAGGUGCAAGCGUUGUUCGGAAUUAUUGGGCGUAAAGCGCGCGUAGGCGGGUUCGUAUGUCAAUUGUGAAAUCCCCGGGCUUAACCCGGGACGUGCAGUUGAAACUGCGAAUCUUGAAUACCUGAGAGGGUGGGGGAAUUCCUGGUGGAGAAGUGAAAUUCGUAGAGAUCAGGAGGAACAUCGGAGGCGAAGGCGCCUACCUGGCAGUGUAUUGACGCUCAUGUGCGAAAGCGUGGGGAGCAAACAGG